GAAUGCGGAAGUAACGCGCGUCAUGGGGCAGCGCUGUGCCCCGUUCAUUUCAGUGUUUCUGAAGUACGCUGCCUGCAGGACUGAUUUUGAGCAGAGAGUGGAGCGAUAAGCAGGCUGCUGGAGCUUGCAGAAAUGUCUGUCCACCAACCAGGGCACUCUUCAAGUUCUGAACCAGAUGUGGGACAUCCGGCAUGAAAUAUAGCCUCCUGUCUGGUCUUGCAGGAUGUUAGAAUUAAAAAAAGUUUCUUUGAAGACAUCACAUUCAAGGGAAACUUACCUAUCCUCCUUGGAUAUAAAAUAUAAUAAAAGGUAUUGUUGAAUGCAA